rnacentral:rRNA from 1 species
AACGAACGCUGGCGGCAGGCUUAACACAUGCAAGUCGAACGAUGUAGCAAUACAUAGUGGCGCACGGGUGAGUAACGCGUGGGAAUAUACCUUGUAGUGGGGAAUAACGUUGGGAAACUAACGCUAAUACCGCAUACGCCCGAGAGGGGAAAGAUUUAUCGCUAUAAGAUUAGCCCGCGUGAGAUUAGGUAGUUGGUGGGGUAAUGGCCUACCAAGCCUACGAUCUCUAGCUGGUCUGAGAGGAUGAUCAGCCACACUGGAACUGAGGCACGGUCCAGACUCCUACGGGAGGCAGCAGUGGGGAAUAUUGGGCAAUGGAGGAAACUCUGACCCAGCCGUGCCGCGUGAAUGAUGAAGGCCUUAGGGUUGUAAAGUUCUUUCGCCGAUGAAGAUAAUGACGGUAGUCGGAGAAGAAGCCCCGGCUAACUUCGUGCCAGCAGCCGCCGUAA